CACCGCUCAAGCCCCUCGGCUUGGUGUUGGGAACUGCGAGACGUUUUCGUCCCGCAGCCCCGAAAUGCAGUGGCGGCCCCCAGCGCGGCUCCUCCUUAGCGCAGUAGAACAUACCGCUACGCUUCGGGACGCCUGGGUAGCCUGCCGUAAAAUCGCGGACCUCAGCGUCACACCCCUCUACAGG
rnacentral:misc_RNA from 1 species